rnacentral:rRNA from 1 species
GUCUACGGCCACACCACCCUGAACGCGCCUGAUCUCGUCUGAUCUCGGAAGCUAAGCAGGGUCGGGCCCGGUCAGUACUUGGAUGGGAGAAAGGAAAGAAGCAACCUUCAAUG